AUGGCUCAGGAUGAACGCUAGCUACAGGCUAACACAUGCAAGUCGAGGGGUAGCAGGGUAGCAAUACCGCUGACGACCGGCGCACGGGUGAGUAACACGUAUCCAACCUUCCCAUAACUCAGGGAUAGCCUUUCGAAAGAAAGAUUAAUACCUGAUAGUACUUUUUCAAGGCAUCUUGAGAAAGUUAAAGAUUUAUUGGUUAUGGAUGGGGAUGCGUUCCAUUAGAUAGUUGGUGAGGUAACGGCUCACCAAGUCUUCGAUGGAUAGGGGUUCUGAGAGGAAGGUCCCCCACAUUGGUACUGAGACACGGACCAAACUCCUACGGGAGGCAGCAGUGAGGAAUAUUGGUCAAUGGGCGAGAGCCUGAACCAGCCAAGUAGCGUGAAGGAUGAAGGUCCUAUGGAUUGUAAACUUCUUUUAUAGUAGAAUAAAGUGAUCCACGUGUGGAUUUUUGUAUGUAUACUAUGAAUAAGGAUCGGCUAACUCCGUGCCAGCCGCUGC
rnacentral:rRNA from 1 species